CAGUUCCUGGAACAACUGUCAGAGGAUGAAAGUAGACAGUAUUGCCACCGACCGGGGCCUCGACAUGAGGCUACAGCUCGUUCUGUCAACUUGUCAAACUAGAAGGGACGGCUUUGGUGGAAAGCAAGACCCUGGCCCACAACCUACAGCGAAGGUUAAAGGUCCAGAAAGAGAGGUCUGAGAGUAAGGAGUUCCACAUAAAGCUGUUGAGGAGGAAAGUGUCUGAGCUAGUGGAGGAGAAGRGGAGUUGCUCAGCCCUGGCCGUGGAGCGAGAUGACGCCCCUGUGACCGCCAGCAAGCUGCAGUCUACAGAAGAAGGUGGAGCGACUGCAGGGGGAACUGGGUUCCAGUAAGGUCUCCAUCACAGAGCUCAAGGCCCAGCUGUCACAUACCAACAAGCUGAAGCUCAAAGUCCCGGAGCAGAGCGAGACCAUUGGGCAGCAGAGUAAGAGUCUGGAGGAGCUGGAGAAGGGGAAGGCCCAGCUAGAGGAGAGGCUGACUAGCCAGGACAGAUCUACAGAGACAGACCACUGGGCAGCAGAGUAAGAGUCUGGAGGAGCUGGAGAAGGGGAAGGCCCAGGUAGAGGAGAGGCUGACUACAGCCAGGACAGAUCUACAGAGCCAGGAGCACCAGGCCAGGGAGGCUCAGCAGCAGCUUACCACCCUCAGACAGACUCUGGCCCAGCUCACUGACAGUGAGAGAGAGGUGGGAGGAUGGAUGGAUACAUAGUCAUAUUAACACGCACAGGCAUGCAUGCACAAAUGGAUGCACUCAUAGAAAGACAGAAACACACAUGCACACACACACGUACAAACAGAAUGUCAUUUGAUUUAGGAGUACAGAAAAUAACAUCAGAAACCUGACUUGAGGUGUAUCUGCUCUAUUGUUUCAGUUGGUAGACUUCCGAAUGGUGGUCUCUCAGAAGUUAGGUCUGAACGUCACAGCCCUGGUGAUCUCUCAGAUGUUAGGUCUGGACGACACAGCCCUGGUGGUCUCUCAGAUGUUAGGUCUGGAAGUCACAGCCCUGGUGGUCUCUCAGGUCUGGACGUCACAGCCCUGGUGGUCUCUCAGAUGUUAGGUCUGGAAGUCACAGACCUGGUGGUC